rnacentral:rRNA from 1 species
CACGUAGGCACCAAGCGUUGUCCGGAUUUAUUGGGCGUAAAGAGCUCGUAGGCGGUUCGGUAAGUCGGGUGUGAAAACUUUGGGCUCAACCCAAAGCGUGCACUCGAUACUGCCGUGACUAGAGUUCGGUAGGGGAGCGGGGAAUUCCUAGUGUAGCGGUGAAAUGCGCAGAUAUUAGGAGGAACACCGGUGGCGAAGGCGCCGCUCUGGGCCGAAACUGACGCUGAGGAGCGAAAGCGUGGGUAGCAAACAGG